rnacentral:misc_RNA from 1 species
GAUUUUUCAAACCCCUUUAAGCGCCAAGCCUGAAAAAUGUAGGCUCCCUUCACUAAAUCUCAGCUCCCUUUCCCGCCACCUCGACAUAGGGUUUAUUGUCGCUUUCCUUUUCCACAUUCGCGUACUUCUCUUAUCCAAAUUACUCGGACAAAUUCUCUAAUUGAAAAACACCAACCCUCAAUCCCCUCAAACUCGAAGAAAUGGCCGGUCAAUCUGACUCCCACCUUUCUCUGUUUUCUCCCGAAGAGGUAGAGUUCAUGGCUGAGGAUGAACUGGUGGAGAUUGUUCCCAAUCUGAGGAUGGAUUCUCUCAAUUUUAUAUGUGGGGAUUAUGGUCCAUUUUAUCCACAAAUAGCCACCCAAGUGCCAUUUUGGUUAGCAGUGGCUCUGAAGAAGCGAGGGAAGUGCACAAUUAGGCCUCCUCAGUGGAUGUCUAUUGAAAAUUUGACUCAGGUUUUGGAAGGAGAAAGAGAUUCACAUGCUUUUCAGCCUCUACCCUUUCACUAUGUGGAGAUCUCACGACUUCUUUUUGACCAUGCACGUGAAGAUAUUCCUGAUAUAUAUAUGGUGAGGUCACUUGUCGAGGACAUCAGAGACGUAAGGUUUCAUAAAGUGGAGACUAAUCUAGAAAAGUUUACUGCAUCAACAGUGACGUGGAAGAAUAUGUCUGCAAUGGAAGUCAAUAUAAUUCGUGCAUUUUCGGGGAGAGCCUUACAAGCAUUCUAUAAGCAUGAGAAUGAACAGGUGAUGCCAGAUACAGAUAGAACACAAGAUAGACAGCCGCAAAUACCUACCAUCAGGCCAAAACGGAAUCUGAAGCCUCGAUGAUAGGUCAUCAUCAAUUCUAAACCCUUCCCAAUUUGAACCUGAUAACAAUGAUCUCAGCAGGCUACUACAGAAGGUACUUCCAUUUUCUUUGAAACCCUUUCCAAAAAGAAAAAAAAAGAAAAAUCUUAUCUAAUGCUCAUUGUAGUGAUAAAAUUACAGUUACUUCUCUGUUGAACCCUUUUGAUUAUCAUUCUAACAAUUAUUACUACUUUUAUUAAUUUACACAAUCUGAAAAAUGGUCAUGUGCAAUGGAUUGGCUUUGCUGUAUCUUUAAAGCUAUUUAAAACACUCAACUGCUAAAUUUUGGUUGACUCCACAUUCUGGGCCUUGAAUGUGUAAAAUUGAUUUCUAAGUGUAAGCGAAGAAUUACAAGAAAUUAGAGGCGGUCUGAAGAUAUGAUAU